CCUACGGGGGGCAGCAGUGGGGAAUAUUGGGCAAUGGAGGAAACUCUGACCCAGCAAUGCCGCGUGAAUGAAGAAGGUCUUCGGAUUGUAAAGUUCUUUAGUCAGGGAAGAAGUCAAUGACGGUACCUGAAGAAUAAGCUCCGGCUAACUACGUGCCAGCAGCCGCGGUAAUACGUAGGGAGCAAGCGUUGUUCGGAAUGACUGGGCGUAAAGGGUGCGUAGGCGGUUGUACAAGUUAGAAGUGAAAUACCCAGGGCUUAACUCGGGUGCUGCUUCUAAAACUGUAUGACUUGAGUGCAGUAGAG
rnacentral:rRNA from 1 species